ACCGUCCUGAACCACGGCCCUGCUCCCCUCCCCUGCCCCAGGUCACCGUCACUGCUGCAGGUGGGACGGGACAGGCCCCUGUGGAAUCGGGUCUGGGAGGUUCCCUGGGAGGCCUCCUCUCCCAGGAGGUCACAGCUGGGGGUCAGAGCUGAAAGGAACUUUCCCACCCACAGGCCUCUCUCCUUUACACUUGGAGAAACUGAGGCCCAGGCAGGGGAGGGGCCUGUCCA
rnacentral:lncRNA from 1 species